rnacentral:rRNA from 1 species
UACGUAGGGGGCAAGCGUUAUCCGGAUUUACUGGGUGUAAAGGGGGCGCAGACGGCAAUGCAAGCCAGGAGUGAAAGCCCGGGGCCCAACCCCGGGACUGCUCUUGGAACUGCAUGGCUGGAGUACAGGAGGGGCAGGCGGAAUUCCUAGUGUAGCGGUGAAAUGCGUAGAUAUUAGGAGGAACACCGGUGGCGAAGGCGGCCUGCUGGACUGUGACUGACGUUGAGGCACGAAAGUGUGGGGAGCAAACAGG